GACGAACGCUGGCGGCGUGCUUAACACAUGCAAGUCGAGCGACGAACCAGGGCUUGCCCUGGGGCAGAGCCGCGAACGGGUGAGUAACGCGCGUGUAACGUGCCCCAAUGACUGGGACAACCCGUGGAAACCCGGGCUAUUACCGGAUGUGCGCUCUCACACCUGUGAGUUGGGUCAAGGAAGCUUCGGCCUCUGCAUCGGUAACGGCCCGCGGCCCAUUAGCUUGUUGGUUAGUUAACGGCUCUCCAAGGCUGCGAUGGGUAGCUGGUAUGAGAGGGAGGUCACACACACUGGCACAGAGAAACGGCCCAGACACCUACGGGAGGCAACGGCCGGGACUCUUGCGCAAUGCGGGAAAGCGUGACGCAGCAACGCCGCGUGGGGGAAGACGGCGCUCGGCUUGGAAACCCCUGUAGGUUGGGGCGAAGGUCGGGCGGUUAACAGCCGUUCAGACUGACGGUACCUGCACAAGAAGCCCCGGCUAACUACGUG
rnacentral:rRNA from 1 species